UACAGAGGUCUCAAGCGUUGUUCGGAUUCAUUGGGCGUAAAGGGUGUGUAGGUGGCGCGCUAAGUCGGGUGUGAAAUUUCGGAGCUUAACUCCGGAAACUGCAUUUCGAUAACUGGCGUGCUUGAGGACUGGAGAGGAGUACUGGAAUUCGAUGGUGAGCAGUGAAAUGCGUAGAGAUCAUGAGGAGACCAGUGGCGAAGG
rnacentral:rRNA from 1 species